GAUCAGUGGCUCACGGACAACGCUGGCGGUGUGCUUCACACAUGCAAGUCGAACGAGGUAGCAAUACCUAGUGGCGGACGGGUGAGUAACGCGUGGGAAUCUGCCUUUAGAUGGGGGAUAACGGGUCGAAAGACUCGCUAAUACCGCAUAUGACGAAAGUUGAAAGGAGUAAUCCGUCUAAAGAUGAGCCCGCGUCCGAUUAGCUAGUUGGUAGAGUAAAAGCCUACCAAGGCGACGAUCGGUAGCUGGUCUGAGAGGAUGAUCAGCCACAAUGGGACUGAGACACGGCCCAUACUCCUACGGGAGGCAGCAGUGGGGAAUUUUACGCAAUGGGCGAAAGCCUGACGUAGCGACACCGCGUGAGCGAAGAAGCCCCUUGGGGUGUAAAGCUCUGUCAGCUGGAACGAAAAAAUGACGGUACCAGCAGAGGAAGCAUCGGCUAACUACGUG
rnacentral:rRNA from 1 species